CGAAAGCUUGCUUUUGAUGGGCGUCGACCGGCGCACGGGUGAGUAACGCGUAUCCAACCUGCCCACCACUUGGGGAUAACCUUGCGAAAGUAAGACUAAUACCCAAUGAUAUCUCUAGAAGACAUCUGAAAGAGAUUAAAGAUUUAUCGGUGAUGGAUGGGGAUGCGUCUGAUUAGCUUGUUGGCGGGGUAACGGCCCACCAAGGCGACGAUCAGUAGGGGUUCUGAGAGGAAGGUCCCCCACAUUGGAACUGAGACACGGUCCAAACUCCUACGGGAGGCAGCAGUGAGGAAUAUUGGUCAAUGGACGAGAGUCUGAACCAGCCAAGUAGCGUGCAGGAUGACGGCCCUAUGGGUUGUAAACUGCUUUUAUAAGGGAAUAAAGUGAGUCUCGUGAGACUUUUUGCAUGUACCUUAUGAAUAAGGACCGGCUAAUUCCGUGCCAGCAGCCGCGGUAAUACGGAAGGUCCGGGCGUUAUCCGGAUUUAUUGGGUUUAAAGGGAGCGUAGGCCGGAGAUUAAGCGUGUUGUGAAAUGUAGAUGCUCAACAUCUGCACUGCAGCGCGAACUGGUUUCCUUGAGUACGCACAAAGUGGGCGGAAUUCGUGGUGUAGCGGUGAAAUGCUUAGAUAUCACGAAGAACUCCGAUUGCGAAGGCAGCUCACUGGAGCGCAACUGACGCUGAAGCUCGAAAGUGCGGGUAUCGAACAGGAUUAGAUACCCUGGUAGUCCGCACGGUAAACGACGGAUGCCCGCUGUUGGUCUGAAUAGGUCAGCGGCCAAGCGAAAGCAUUAAGCAUCCCACCUGGGGAGUACGCCGGCA
rnacentral:rRNA from 1 species